rnacentral:rRNA from 1 species
GAUGAACGCUGGCGGCGUGCCUAAUACAUGCAAGUCGAGCGAACGGACGAGAAGCUUGCUUCUCUGAUGUUAGCGGCGGACGGGUGAGUAACACGUGGAUAACCUACCUAUAAGACUGGGAUAACUUCGGGAAACCGGAGCUAAUACCGGAUAAUAUUUUGAACCGCAUGGUUCAAAAGUGAAAGACGGUCUUGCUGUCACUUAUAGAUGGAUCCGCGCUGCAUUAGCUAGUUGGUAAGGUAACGGCUUACCAAGGCAACGAUGGAUAGCCGACCUGAAAGGGUGAUCGGCCACACUGGAACUGAGACACGGUCCAGACUCCUACGGGAGGCAGCAGUAGGGAAUCUUCCGCAAUGGGCGAAAGCCUGACGGAGCAACGCCGCGUGAGUGAUGAAGGUCUUCGGAUCGUAAAACUCUGUUAUUAGGGAAGAACAUAUGUGUAAGUAACUGUGCACAUCUUGACGGUACCUAAUCAGAAAGCCACGGCUAACUACGUG